UGGGGAAUUUUGGACAAUGGGCGAAAGCCUGAUCCAGCAAUGCCGCGUGUGUGAAGAAGGCCUUCGGGUUGUAAAGCACUUUUGUCCGGAAAGAAAUCCUUGGCUCUAAUACAGUCGGGGGAUGACGGUACCGGAAGAAUAAGCACCGGCUAACUACGUGCCAGCAGCCGCGGUAAUACGUAGGGUGCAAGCGUUAAUCGGAAUUACUGGGCGUAAAGCGUGCGCAGGCGGUUUGCUAAGACCGAUGUGAAAUCCCCGGGCUCAACCUGGGAACUGCAUUGGUGACUGGCAGGCUAGAGUAUGGCAGAGGGGGGUAGAAUUCCACGUGUAGCAGUGAAAUGCGUAGAGAUGCGGAGGAAUACCGAUGGCGAAGGCAGCCCCCUGGGCAAUACUGACGCUCAUGCACGAAAGCGUGGGGAGCAAACAGGAUUAGAUACCCUGGUAGUCCACGCCCUAAACGAUGUCAACUAGUUGUUGGGGAUUCAUUUCCUUAGUAACGUAGCUAACGCGUGAAGUUGACCGCCUGGGGAGUACGGUCGCAAGAUUAAAACUCAAAUGAAUUGACGGGGUCAUAGCUGUUUCCU
rnacentral:rRNA from 1 species